rnacentral:misc_RNA from 1 species
GCCCUUUGCUGUAUCUUUUUCAGCUAAAUGAAAAAUGCAACAGAUGAAUUUAUUUGCAGGAGAAAAUGCACAUAGUCAAAUGGCACAGAGGUUCCUUUAUGCAAUAAAAUUCUGGCAGGAGCAACUGAGGAAGAAUGGGGUGUUCAUUGGCAAGAACUAUAGCAGAAUGUCAUUUAAUUAGAUAUUCUGAGGCUCACAAAAAUAAAUAAAUAAAUAUAAAAUUGUGGCAAGGUUGUCGUUUAUCAAAAUCCAGAACAACUUAAAGAAACCAAAAAAAAAAAGACAGG